ACGUAUUUUAAGAAUCUAAGCUACCCACACAUGGACCAAUGGGGUAGGACCAAACAUAUUAGCCGUAAAUACUACACAUAGCCACAAGGGGAGCAGGACAUUACUGAAGGCUGCAAUAGAUACUUUAGCCACAGAGGGCAGCACCACAGACCAGGCGAGGAAAGCCGGGAUUACGUCACACCGGUUCCUCACAAUACUUCCGGACCGCGCUGAUCAGAUCAUAACAGCCUACAGAUCCACAUUGUCCUCAGAAUUCUUCCGGCAGCGAUUAGACAUACGUGGGUUUAUGGGCUAUGAUCAGCUAGGAGAACGCUCGCACGUGCUUAGAACACAUCUUCAAUCUCUCUUUGCUUCAGAGUAUCAGUUUACCAUACCGAAAAUACUUUAUACUAAAUAAAGUCUCUUUAAAGCUAUUCCUUUGGAUUCGACCCCUCUUUCCUGGAAGAACUCUGCAAUUGCAAGAUCUGAUCGGCUCCCGCCGUAAACCCCGCCCUUUCUACAAAUCAGCCAAUGAGAAGAGCCUUGGGGCACUAAACUUCUGGCCCCACCGCCGAAACAGAAGCGGGCGCUGCGCACGCGCUUGCUCGCGCAACAGCACCAGUUUUCUACACUGCAGCAGACGGGGCCAUCUCGGCUGUGCCCCACCGAGCGGAAAUGACGAGACGAAGCAACGAACUAUUUCACACACAACUACUACACUACAACAAUUGCGUUCAUCAAAUUAAAACUGCGGACAUGUAAUUAAUUAUUAACAAUUAAUGUAUUAUUAACUUAUGCUCAAUGACAUUUUUGAAAAAAAAAAAGAAAAGUAUAAUCGUGCCCUGCACGGCAGCGUUCUCUGGUGGGGCCGUGCCCCA